UACAGAGACUGCAAGCGUUAUUCGGAUUCACUGGGCGUAAAGGGUGCGUAGGUGGUGAGGUAAGUCGGAUGUGAAAUCUCCGAGCUCAACUCGGAAAUGGCAUUGGAAACUACCUUGCUCGAGGGUUGGAGGGGGGACUGGAAUGCUUGGUGUAGCAGUGAAAUGCGUAGAUAUCAAGCGGAACACCAGUGGCGAAGGCGAGUCCCUGGACAACUCCUGACACUGAGGCACGAAAGCUAGGGGAGCAAACAGG
rnacentral:rRNA from 1 species